rnacentral:rRNA from 1 species
UACGAAGGGGGCUAGCGUUGCUCGGAAUCACUGGGCGUAAAGGGUGCGUAGGCGGGACUUUAAGUCAGGGGUGAAAUCCUGGAGCUCAACUCCAGAACUGCCUUUGAUACUGAAGAUCUUGAGUUCGGGAGAGGUGAGUGGAACUGCGAGUGUAGAGGUGAAAUUCGUAGAUAUUCGCAAGAACACCAGUGGCGAAGGCGGCUCACUGGCCCGGAACUGACGCUGAGGUGCGAAAGCGUGGGGAGCAAACAGG